rnacentral:ncRNA from 2 species
GGAUGUGUCUCUGGAGAAUCUCAAAUGAGUGCCGAAGGUGCAAAAGUAGAAGAAUCUAAUUAUUUAUCUACUUAAUCUCUCAGGCAAAAGGACAGAGAAUUAAUC